rnacentral:rRNA from 1 species
GAUGAACGCUGGCGGCGUGCCUAAUACAUGCAAGUCGAGCGAACAGACGAGAAGCUUGCUCCUCUGAUGUUAGCGGCGGACGGGUGAGUAACACGUGGAUAACCUACCUAUAAGACUGGGAUAACUUCGGGAAACCGGAGCUAAUACCGGAUAAUAUUUUGAACCGCAUGGUUCAAUAGUGAAAGACGGUCUUGCUGUCACUUAUAGAUGGAUCCGCGCUGCAUUAGCUAGUUGGUAAGGUAACGGCUUACCAAGGCAACGAUGCAUAGCCGACCUGAGAGGGUGAUCGGCCACACUGGAACUGAGACACGGUCCAGACUCCUACGGGAGGCAGCAGUAGGGAAUCUUCCGCAAUGGGCGAAAGCCUGACGGAGCAACGCCGCGUGAGUGAUGAAGGUCUUCGGAUCGUAAAACUCUGUUAUUAGGGAAGAACAUAUGUGUAAGUAACUGUGCACGUCUUGACGGUACCUAAUCAGAAAGCCACGGCUAACUACGUG